rnacentral:rRNA from 1 species
UGGGGAAUAUUGGACAAUGGGCGAAAGCCUGAUCCAGCAAUGCCGCGUGGGUGAAGAAGGUCUUCGGAUUGUAAAGCCCUUUCGACGGGGACGAUGAUGACGGUACCCGUAGAAGAAGCCCCGGCUAACUUCGUGCCAGCAGCCGCGGUAAUACGAAGGGGGCUAGCGUUGCUCGGAUUGACUGGGCGUAAAGGGCGCGUAGGCGGAUAGUACAGUCAGGCGUGAAAUUCCUGGGCUCAACCUGGGGGCUGCGUUUGAUACGUAUUGUCUGGAGUUCGGAAGAGGGUCGUGGAAUUCCCAGUGUAGAGGUGAAAUUCGUAGAUAUUGGGAAGAACACCGGUGGCGAAGGCGGCGACCUGGUCCGAUACUGACGCUGAGGCGCGAAAGCGUGGGGAGCAAACAGGAUUAGAUACCCUGGUAGUCCACGCUGUAAACGAUGUGUGCUGGAUGUUGGGUGACAUAGUCAUUCAGUGUCGUAGCUAACGCGAUAAGCACACCGCCUGGGGAGUACGGCCGCAAGGUUGAAACUUAAAGGAAUUGACG